GCCGCAGUAGCCCAGAUGAAAGAGGCGUCGCCAGUACGAAUAACGAAAGUAGCAGGUUCCAAUCCUGCCUGCGACA